rnacentral:rRNA from 1 species
CCGUAUAUGGGGCGCAGCCUGAUCCAGCCAUGCCGCGUGAGUGAUGAAGGCCCUAGGGUUGUAAAGCUCUUUUGUGCGGGAAGAUAAUGACGGUACCGCAAGAAUAAGCCCCGGCUAACUUCGUGCCAGCAGCCGCGGUAAU